rnacentral:rRNA from 1 species
UACGGGGGGGGCAAGCGUUGUUCGGAAUUACUGGGCGUAAAGGGCUCGUAGGCGGCCAACUAAGUCAGACGUGAAAUCCCUCAGCUUAACUGGGGAACUGCGUCUGAUACUGGAUGGCUUGAGAUUGGGAGAGGGAUGCGGAAUUCCAGGUGUAGCGGUGAAAUGCGUAGAUAUCUGGAGGAACACCGAUGGCGAAGGCAAUCCCCUGGACCUGUACUGACGCUCAUGCACGAAAGCGUGGGGAGCAAACAGG